rnacentral:rRNA from 1 species
CUUAACACAUGCAAGUCGAACGGGAUCCGGCCAGCUUGCUGGUUGGUGAGAGUGGCGAACGGGUGAGUAAUGCGUGACCGACCUGCCCCAUGCUCCGGAAUAGCUCCUGGAAACGGGUGGUAAUGCCGGAUGGUCCAGCAUGCUGCAUGGCGUGUUGGGAAAGAUUUAUCGGCGUGGGAUGGGGUCGCGUCCUAUCAGCUUGACGGUGGGGUGAUGGCCUACCGUGGCUUCGACGGGUAGCCGGCCUGAGAGGGCGACCGGCCACAUUGGGACUGAGAUACGGCCCAGACUCCUACGGGAGGCAGCAGUGGGGAAUAUUGCACAAUGGGCGCAAGCCUGAUGCAGCGACGCCGCGUGAGGGAUGGAGGCCUUCGGGUUGUAAACCUCUUUUAGCAGGGAGCAAGGCUUCGGUUGAGUGUACCUGUUGAAUAAGCACCGGCUAACUACGUGCCAGCAGCCGCGGUAAUACGUAGGGUGCAAGCGUUAUCCGGAAUUAUUGGGCGUAAAGGGCUCGUAGGCGGUUCGUCGCGUCUGGUGUGAAAGUCCAUCGCUUAACGGUGGAUCUGCGCCGGGUACGGGCGGGCUGGA